UACGUAGGGACCGAGCGUUGUCCGGAAUCAUUGGGCGUAAAGAGCGUGUAGGCGGCCACUUAAGUCCUGCGUGAAAUCUUGCGGCUCAACCGCAAGCGGUCGUGGGAAACUGGGUGGCUAGAGUGCGGGAGAGGAGAGUGGAAUUCUUGGUGUAGCGGUGAAAUGCGUAGAUAUCAAGAGGAACACCUGAGGUGAAGACGGGUUGCUGGGCUGACACUGACGCUGAGGCGCGAAAGCCAGGGGAGCAAACGGG
rnacentral:rRNA from 1 species